rnacentral:lncRNA from 10 species
CCAACGCAUCCAUCCCCAGAGGAACAAGCGAGGAUCUCAGAGCGCGACCUGGACAGGUCCCAUACAGAGAGAAGAAACAGACAACCUGAAUCACAUUCAAAAGAGAGUCUCCACAAUAGUGAGGGCUGCAAAACCAGGUGACAUGAAAACCAAGAGAAUGAAUUACAUAGAUUUGUUUAACCUAAGGAAGAAAAGAUUCUGGACACGUGAGGGCCGAUUUUCAUUCCUCAGAGCUCUCUCCUUUGGAGGCUUCUUUGUUUGGGCCCCACUUCCAUUCUUCACAUUCAGCAGUUACUGGGAGACGACCUUACCAUGGCCUGUCCCUCCGUGUUCAUCCCAAUCGCAUCCAGAUGCCUCUCUGGCCUCAUCUCCUAGUGUUCCUGUGUCCGGAAUUGGUGGGUUCUUGGUCUCGCUAACUUCAACAAUGAAGCCUCGGACCCUGGCGGUGAGUGUUACAGUUCUUAAAGGCAGCGUGUCCGGAGUUUGUUCCUUCUGAUGUUUGGAUGUGUUCGGAGUUUCUUCCUUCUGGUGGGUUCAUGGUCUCCUUGGCUCAGGAGUGAAGCUGCAGACCUUCGCGGUGAGUGUUACAGCUCUUAAGGCGGCGCGUCUGGAGUUGUUCGUUCCUCCCGGUGGAUUCGUGGUCUCGCUGGCUUCAGGAGUGAAGCUGCAGACGUUCGUGGUGUUAUAGCUCAUAAAGGCAGUGUGGACCCAAAGAGUGAGCAGUAGCAAGAUUUAUUGCAAAAAGCGA